rnacentral:rRNA from 1 species
AUUGAACGCUGGCGGCAGGCCUAACACAUGCAAGUCGAACGAGUGUAUGACGGGUGAGUAAUGUCCGGGAAACUGCCUGAUGGAGGGGGAUAACUACUGGAAACGGUAGCUAAUACCGCAUACCAUCAGAUGUGCCCAGAUGGGAUUAGCUAGUUGGUGGGGUAACGGCUCACCAAGGCGACGAUCCCUAGCUGGUCUGAGAGGAUGACCAGCCACACGUGAACUGAGACACGGUCCAGACUCCUCCGGGAGGCAGCAGUGGGUAAUAUUGCACUAUGGGCGCAAGCCUGAGGCAGCCAUGCCUCGUGUAUGAAGAUGGCCUUCGGGUUGUAAAGUACUUACGGCGGGGAGGCGUUACCCGCAGAAGAAGCACCGUCUAACUCCGUGCCAGCAGCCGCGGUAAUUC